CCACAUGGAUACUCCCUGGAGGUCACUCUCCCUGGGUUCUGUCCAAGUGGCAUUGGGAGUGGGGGCACAGGGCUCUGCCCCAUCAUGAACAGUCCCUUUUCGUGAUGAUGGAGAUGAUGCUGGGCCUUGAGACUGCGCCUGCAUAUUCCGACAACUUCUCAGAGUCUGCGGACAAUGAGGAGAUAAACCAUGCAGGAAAGUCUU